rnacentral:rRNA from 1 species
CCCUUAGAUGUCCGGGGCUGCACGCGCGCUACACUGAAGGAAUCAGCGUGCUAAAACCAUUGUCGAAAGGCAUUGGUAAACCCAUUAAAAUCCUACGUGAUUGGGAUCGGGAAUUGCAAUUAUUUCCCUUGAACGAGGAAUUCCCAGUAAGUGUGGGUCAUAAGCUCGCGCUGAUUACGUCCCUGCCCUUUGUACACACCGCCCGUCGCUGCCCGGGACUGAGCCGUUUCGAGAAAAGCGGGGACUGCUGCUGUCGGGGCUUUCGGGCCUUGGCUUCGGUGGAAACCGCUUUAAUCGCAGUGGCUUGAACCGGGCAAAANUCGUANCA